CCAGUUCUCGCAAGGUAAACAUCCUAAGCAUGCUACUUUCAUCACAUUCCUAAUGACUUUAAGCGAUAGAAGAGUAACUUUUGGAAAUCGAAUUCUUCACAUAUUUCCCUUGUUUUGGCUCUCUU
rnacentral:sRNA from 1 species